UCAGUCGGUUGGACGGCCACCGAUACAGUUAAAAUGGUAUGGGAGGAAAGUCCGGGCUCCACGGGAACACGGUGCCGGGUAAUGCCCGGCGGAGGCGACUCUAGGGAUAGUGCCACAGAAAGUAAACCGCCUAGCCCUCUUGAAUUGGAGCUUCUAGGUAAGGGUGAAAGGGUGCGGUUAAGAGCUCACCGCGAUGCCGGCAACGGGAUUGGCAAGGUAAACCCCACCGGGAGCAAGACCGAAUAGGGAUGACAUGCUAGUUUUGUAAAAGAUUAGGUAGACGCGUUCCCGCGUAGUCAUCGGGUGGGUUGCGUGAGAUGGUCGGUAACGACCGUCCUAGAUGAAUGGCCGUCACCUAGGUUUUCUAGGUACAGAACCCGGCUUAUAGACCGUCUGAAUCU
rnacentral:RNase_P_RNA from 2 species